GCCAACAAACGUUUGAACAACCGGCUCCAGAUUUGUGACAACUUGCGCGUUUUUAUGUGUGUCUCGUGCGCCUAAGAAGAAAGAGUGCUGUAGUCUGUUUCGCAGAUAAAGUACGAUGCCCAGUCUUCACAUUGCACAUCAGAGAAGCCUCCGUCUUGCUCCCAUAAUGCCAUGCAGUCUUCUUCGUUGACGUUGUUAGGCUCAUUCGGCGCGUAUCUUGCGUGACUUCCCAGACAUACACACCUUCUUCUACGAGAUCAUUCAUACCAAUACGAAUGUAGGUCGUCGCU